CGGACCAAUGGUGAUGACUGGUGGAGUAUGAGUCAUGGAUGAUGAAUACUAUGUGCCUGUUUAU
rnacentral:snoRNA from 1 species